UGGGGAAUAUUGCACAAUGGAGGAACUCUGAUGCAGCGACGCCGCGUGAACGAAGAAGGCUUUCGAGUCGUAAAGUUCUUUUAUAUGGGAAGAUAAUGACGGUACCAUAAGAAAAAGCCCCGGCUAACUACGUGCCAGCAGCCGCGGUAAUACGUAGGGGGCUAGCGUUGUCCGGAAUCACUGGGCGUAAAGGGUUCGCAGGCGGAAAUGCAAGUCAGGUGUAAAAGGCAGUAGCUUAACUACUGUAAGCAUUUGAAACUGCAUAUCUUGAGAAGAGUAGAGGUAAGUGGAAUUUUUAGUGUAGCGGUGAAAUGCGUAGAUAUUAAAAAGAAUACCGGUGGCGAAGGCGACUUACUGGGCUCAUUCUGACGCUGAGGAACGAAAGCGUGGGUAGCAAACAGG
rnacentral:rRNA from 1 species